GACGCUCACGGGCUACAAAGAGUCGAAACCCUCUGCCAGCGACGACUGACUGGUAUUCCCGAUGCGUGGGAAGCCUCGCCGUUUACGGCGAGGAGGAUGUCACCAACGGGUGAAC
rnacentral:misc_RNA from 1 species